rnacentral:rRNA from 1 species
CAAUAGCGUAUAUUAAAGUUGUUGCAGUUAAAAAGCUCGUAGUUGGAUUUCUGGUGAGAUGGAUUAUGUCUAGGUCGAAAGAUCUUGUUCAUGGUUCGUUUUGCCCUUCUUGUCAGGAACCCGCUGAGAUUCGCGUCUUGUCGGUGGAAUGGCAUCGUUUACUGUGAAAAAAUUAGAGUGUUCAAAGCAGGCAUCGCCGUUGAAUACAUUAGCAUGGAAUAAUAAGAUAAGACUUUGGUGGUCUAUUUUGUUGGUUUGCACGCCAAAGUAAUGAUUAAUAGGGAUAGUUGGGGGUAUUUGUAUUCUAUUGCUAGAGGUGAAAUUCUUAAAUUUAUGGAAGACGAACUACUGCGAAAGCAUUUACCAAGGAUGUUUUCAUUAA